GACGGAGGAUGCAAGCGUUAUCCGGAAUGAUUGGGCGUAAAGCGUCCGCAGGUGGCAGUUCAAGUCUGCUGUCAAAGACCGGGGCUUAACUUCGGAAAGGCAGUGGAAACUGAACAGCUAGAGUAUGGUAGGGGCAGAGGGAAUUCCUGGUGUAGCGGUGAAAUGCGUAGAGAUCAGGAGGAACACCGGUGGCGAAGGCGGGUCUCUGGGCAACAACUGACGCUGAGGAGCGAAAGCGUGGGGAGCGAACAGG
rnacentral:rRNA from 1 species